UACGAAGGGGGGCUAGCGUUGCUCGGAAUCACUGGGCGUAAAGGGCGCGUAGGCGGACUUUUAAGUCGGAGGUGAAAGCCCAGGGCUCAACCCUGGAAUUGCCUUCGAUACUGGGAGUCUUGAGUUCGGAAGAGGUUGGUGGAACUGCGAGUGUAGAGGUGAAAUUCGUAGAUAUUCGCAAGAACACCAGUGGCGAAGGCGGCCAACUGGUCCGAUACUGACGCUG
rnacentral:rRNA from 1 species